UGGCUAGUGUGCUUCAUGACAAAGCAAAGA
rnacentral:piRNA from 1 species